rnacentral:lncRNA from 1 species
UUUUUAUAUUCUUUGUAAUUAUGUAUGUUACAUUUUAUUAAAUAAUAAUAAUCAUUAAAAAAAAUAAUAAUAAUAAACAAAAAAAAAAGUUCUUCUUCUCCAGCCCACCCACCCACCCACCUGCCCGGCUCAACCUGCUACUGCUGUUCUGCUACACUACUACCACCGGCACCAUAAUCAUCUUCUCCAGAUCCACCACCACAGCAAUAGUAAAAAUGGUAGCAAUAAACACACAAGAAAAAGAAACAUAUAAAAAAAGCGGCGGCGGAUCUAUAUUUCGGCGACGGAGAGAUUCUCGAUCUCGAUCUCGUCUCGGUCUCUCUCCAUACAAAUCUCGUCACAAGUAAAUUUUACAAUUCUUCAGUUAUACACAACUAUCUCUAUCACUAAGAAAUGGGUGGUGCCAGAUCGGCGGCGGUGUCGAGGGAGAGAAUUUUAUAGUGGCUGGGCAUCGGUGGUGCGAGACGGUGGCGUUGUAGUCGGAACGAAUUUGAAGAAGUGGGUGGAAGGCGGUGUAGUGGGAACGAAUUUGAAGGAGGCGGGGGAAGGUGGUGGUGCGAGACGAGCGGCGAUGCUGAACUUGUUGGAGGUGGGCCGAUGGAAACGAGGAAGAAGAUGUGCAGUCUCUCCU